CCUACGGGUGGCAGCAGUGAGGAAUAUUGGUCAAUGGGCGCGAGCCUGAACCAGCCACGUAGCGUGAAGGAUGACUGCCCUCCGUAUGUUAAGCUUCUUUUGUAGGGGAGUAAAUUGCGGCACGUGUGCCAUAUUGUAUGGAUUUUAUGGAUACAGAACGGCUAACGCCGUGCCAGCGGCAGCGGUAAUACGGAGGUACCGAGCGUUAUCCGGAUUUAUUGGGUGUAAAGGGAGCGUAGAUGGGGUUUUAAGUCCGUUGUGAAAGUUUGCGGCUCAACCGUGAAAUUGCAAUUGAUACUGGCAGACUGGAGUACAGUUGAGGUAGGCGGAAUUCGUAGUGUAGCGGUGAAAUGCUUAGAUAUUACGAGGAACUCCGAUUGCGAAGGCAGCCUACUAAACUGCAACUGACAUUGAGGCUCGAAAGUGUGAGUAUCAAACAGGAUUAGAUACCCUAGUAGUC
rnacentral:rRNA from 1 species